CAAACCGGCAGCAUGGCUGCUGUGGCAAACGCAUCUAGCAUGCAUCCCGAGCUGCUGGAGGCGGCAAUGGCAUGCCAUGGCAGCUGCAGGGAACUGACGAACCUUCUGAACGGAGGAGCGGCUGACGUGCCUAUUGAGGUCGUCGUCGACGUCGACCACCCCGCGCGCCCACCAGCGUCGUCCUUGCUCCUGGAAGGGGUCACCCCAGACGGGGACUCCGCACUCCACAUCGUAGCAGCCUACGGGUACCUGAAGAAAAAAGCCAGGGCAGUCUACGACAAGGCGCCGCGCCUCUUGGGCGCGCACAACGGCGGCGGCAGCACGCCGUUGCACCGCGCCGCCAGGGCCGGCCACGCCGCGAUGGCCGCUCUCCUCGUUGAGCUGGCGAGAGGGGAACAAGUCGCUGGUGAAGAUGGGAGGGUGGAGACGCUGGUGAGGAUGCAGAACGGGCUCGAGGAGACAGCCCUGCACGAGGCGACCCGCGCUGCUCAGAUGCCCACGAUGGCUGAGCUGAUGGCAGCGGACCCCUUCCUCGCUCGCGUCCCGGACGACGGAACCGCGCCGUUGUUCCUCGCCGUCUCCCUGCGACAUGAGGAAAUCGCGCGGGAGCUCCACGAGAGAGACAAGAAGCUGUCAUACUCCGGGCCUGAUGGGCAGAAUGCUCUUCAUGCUGCAGUUCUUCGAAGCAGAGAUAUGACAGAAUUACUACUGAACUGGAACAAGGAGCUUACUAAAAAAGCGAGACCAACUUGGAAACACGCCUCUACACUUUGCCGUAUCAUUAGAAACGGGCACACGUGGUAUGCUUCCCCAAUAUGCCGUGCCAGUGGUAAAUGGAACUAGUAUUACAAGUUUUCUGAACGUAGUUGAAACACCAAUGGACCUUACCAUGCUAAUAUUGGAGGCGGAUGCAUAUUCAGCAUAUCAACCAGACAAAAAGGGUCAUUCCCCAUACAUGUCGCUGCUUUAGCGGGAAGACUUUCAUCUGUCAUCAUCUUACUUUUAAAGUGCCCAGGUUGCGCCAGCUUACGUGACGCCCGUGGGAGAACUUUUCUCCAUGUUGCCGUCACGAAGAAAAGAUAUGAUAUAAUUCGGUAUGCGUGCCAGACACCCAUGUUUUCGUCAAUUAUGAACAAGCAAGAUAAUGAAGGAAACACUGCACUACAUCUAGCUGUGGAGGUUGGGGACUGGUGGAGUUUCACUUGUCUCUUCGCAAACAAAGAAGUAGAUUUUAAUCUACCAAACAACAAGCAACAUACCCCGCGAGAAAUUUCAGUUAGCAGUACUCCAACCGGGUUGUACUGCCUGUCGCACUCAUGGAUUUUGAUACAACAAGCUCUCAUAUCUGCCGACGCUACACUUCAUAUCUGUCGGCGAAAUAUCAUGAAAAAGGGACCUAGUAGCCAAUCUGACGCUAAGAUUGAUGCGGUAAUAUCAAACUCAACGCAAUUUCUCGGCCUUGGCUUAGCAUUAAUUACAACAAUGGCUUUUGGUGCUGCUUUCGCCUUACCUGGGGGUUACAGAGCAGAUGACCACCUUAAGGAAGGAACACCAACUCUAUCUACCGAAAAAGUAUUCUAAGGAUUCUUGAUGGCGAAUGCACUGGCAUUUAUAUGCUCGUCUUUAGCCGUCCUAAGCCUUGUGUUUGCAGGAACACCUACAGUUGAAAUACCCAUGCGCUACAUGCACUACAAUAUAUCCAUAUAGUUAUUUUUACCCAAAAAGGCUUUCGCCCCGCUUUAUAUAUAAAGCAUCGACCAACAACAAUCCGGUACAAACGCACGCCAUCACAACACACACACACACCCGAGGCAAGAUACAUAAGCGCUGAGCGCAGCAACACCACCCCAAGCACUACAAGAGCAGCCGGGUCCUUGACCGUGAACACGCCACCGUGAAGAGAUGAAGCCGCAUGUGACGAACCGUGGGCUCCAAGGCGGUGCCUUCAGGAAGGAUACGACACCGGAGCGCCGCCACCGCCCGACCCGAGAGUCAGAGUUUCCCCUGGAGCAACACGACGGGCAAUGAUGGCCGCGACGACGCCUUCAGGAAGGGAACGAGCUUCGCCGCCGCCGGUCCGUCCGAAGAUAGAACAGGUUUUCACCCCGGCUAAUACUCACCGCCACCGAACGCCACACCCCGGUGACCAUGCCGCCCACACGACCAUGGUCACAGGGCAGCACCCAGGCACAGGCUUUGCCCAUGAGCACCGUGACACCACCACCAAGGCCGCCGCCCCGGCAUCCAAGACCUCGACGCCACCUCACCAGUUACCCAGCGCCACGCCACCUAUAGAGACGGGUGGAAAGGCCCCACCUUUUGCACCCCUGAGCUGCCCCCAACCAGCCGCCAUCGGCCCGUCCUGCUGCCGGGCGCGAGACUAGCGCGGUCCUGCUGCCGGGCGCGAGACUAGCGCGGUCCUGCUGCCGGGCACGAGACGGCCGCGGUCCUGCUGCUGGGCGCGAGACGGGCGCGGUCGUGCUUCCGGGCGCGAGACGGGAGCGGUCCUGCUGCCGGGCGCGAGACGAGCGCGGUCCUGCUGUCGGGCGCGAUACGGGCGAUGGACCACGGCUGGGAAAAGCCCAAUCCAUCGACGGAAGUGGAGCGCGGGCAACGGGGAGAGGAAUCGAAGGCCGUCGCAUGCCGCCUACGGACGAACCGACGCCGAAACAUGCCAGCCGCCGUCGCAGCCGACUUGCCAAGCUACUAUGGAACUCUCCACGGCCGGAGCAGCAGCCACACGAGGCCACUGCCCAUCCCGCGCCGCCCGCCGGACUCCAGGACUGAAUCCGCCGGGCAUGCAGCCACCAGAUCGGCCAGCGCACCGGUCCCACCACCUGCGGCGCCGCACACACCACCACACCUGCGCCGCCACCUCCCCCAGCCAGGACGGCCAAGGCAGAGGGGGCCGCCCGCAGCCGCGCCGCCCACGGCCCGCGCCGCCCGGAGGGCCAGAUCCGGUCGACCACCGCAUCCCGCCCCCAAGUACGCCCCCCCCACACGACGCCCGUCAAGCCGCCGCCACGCCGCCGCUACCGCACCGAC